rnacentral:lncRNA from 1 species
AGGCAUUGUCGUUGUACUCAAAGGAGUCAACUUCCAAGGCAAAUAACCAUCAUGCCAGGCUUAGAAUAAUUUGAAUUAUUAAUUCCACAGUCAAAGAACAACCUUCAUGAUCUCUCCAAAUCGCAUUGGAAGAUGUAUUAUGAUAAAUCUGCAAAGAAAUAAUAUCAAGUUUCAACGGCUCCAUGUUCUCUCACUCAAAUGCUAAACAUCCCAGAUUCAAAAGAGUACAGGUGGUACUAAGAAACAGUACCAGCAAAAAUAAUCAUUUUUGGUCCAAUGAAAGGAGACUGGCACUAAUUGAUCGCUGCCAUUGUUUCCUAUCACAACAGUU